rnacentral:rRNA from 1 species
CAGUAGCCGCGGGAAAACGUAUGUCGCAAGCGUUAUCCGGAAUUAUUGGGCAUAAAGGGCAUCUAGGCGGCCAGACAAGUCUGGGGUGAAAACUUGCGGCUCAACCGCAAGCCUGCCCUGGAAACUGUUUGGCUAGAGUGCUGGAGAGGUGGACGGAACUGCACGAGUAGAGGUGAAAUUCGUAGAUAUGUGCAGGAAUGCCGAUGAUGAAGAUAGUUCACUGGACGGCAACUGACGCUGAAGUGCGAAAGCUAGGGGAGCGAACAGGAUUAGAUACCCCAGUAGUCCCUGUCUCUUAUAU